rnacentral:rRNA from 1 species
GGAGUCUGGGCCGUGUCUCAGUCCCAAUGUGGCUGAUCAUCCUCUCAGACCAGCUAGAGAUCGUCGCCUAGGUGAGCCGUUACCCUGCCAACUGGCUAAUCAGACGCGGGUCCAUCUUGUACCACCGGAGUUUUUCACACUGUACCAUGCAGUACUGUGCGCUUAUGCGGUAUUAGCAGUCAUUUCUAACUGUUAUCCCCCUGUACAAGGCAGGUUACCCACGCGUUACUCACCCGUCCGCCACUCAGUCAAUCAAAUCUUCCUCCCGAAGGAUUCUGUCUUGAUUGCUUCGUUCAACUUGCAUGUGUUAGGCACGCCGCCAGCGUUCAUC